CGGCGGUCUUCCUCCAUCCAGCGGCAGCGGCUCCAGCCUAGGCGAGCCUCGCGAGGGAUUCCGACGCGGCUGGGGAUCAAUCCGAGGCGAGGCUUGCCAGUGAUCUAGCGACGGAGGGGAUCGAUCCGAGGUGAGGCAUCCGGCCUCCAUCCGAGGCGAUGCGCGCGAGGAUCCGGCGAUCGACAGGAUCCCGCCGCGUAGCAGAUGGGCGACGUUUCCUCUUUGCCGUUACCGUUGCUCCUUGCCGCAGCCACUCGUGGCCAUGGCGGCCAGGGUUCACCUCCAACCUCGGCGCGUCCCCUCCUCCCACUCGCCUCGCCCCCCACCCCACCCCCAGCAAUGAGGAGGAGCAGCCGGUGCCCCCGCCCCCGAGUUCGCCGACGACGCCGUCCUCCGGCCCAAGCUUGCUGCUACUGCUCCUCCUCUCCUCUGUCCAUGGCUUCCCCAAGCAGUAAGUAAGAGCAGAGUCCUAAUUCAACAGGCCUCUUGAUGAAUGGAGAGGGGCUGCAGGGGAAGAGCCAGGCAAUUUCAAAUCUUGGGAGCUAAGUUUUUCUAUAUGGAUGUGACGCUCCAUCAGCUUCCACAUACGGCAUUUGGAAAAGUUGUUAAUGGUGGAAAAAAUGAUGUGGACAAUUAAUAAGACACAACUGGGAUGCAAAAGCAUACUGAUGCUCCUGAGAGAAGACGAAUUCACCAUUUCAGAAGGAAGUGAGCCUCCUUAGUUUUACCUACAUUCUUAAACACGCAAUCUGCAAAAUCAUCUGUACGUUUUUUCUUUUCUUUUUUCCACAAGGUAUUUGGUCUUAGUUUAUUAUGCAGAUUGCAUAAGUUUAUGUUCUUUGUGAUUGGACGCGUACAUACAUACAAUUAUUUUGUUUCAAAGAUAGAUUGCAUCUUGCUCGGA